GUUGAAGAGUCAACUUCCAACAGUUUUACUAUCCUUGGGGACACCAAGGACUAUUAGAUCAACAAUAAAAAAUCCUAUUGGUAAUGACAGGAUGGUGUCCAGUAAAAGUAAGGGAAAAAUUACAACACAGAAGACAAAAAUUGAAACAAAUGUUAGAAGAAGAUUAGAAAAGCAACCCUUGCAGCAAAUAAAUGAGAAUUCAUUAAAAAAGACUACUGCUAACAACCAAGAAAACUCAACAUCCAAAAUAUUUUGCCUAUUUGAUAAGUCUAAACAACUAAACCCCUUUCCAACAUUAAUUACUGGCUUGAAAAAUGUCCUUAGAACAAGGAAUGCAAAUCCUGGCAACUAUUACAACAGGAAACCUCAACCUGAUCCUUUUGGAAGAUGGGGUAAUGGAAUGGCUAGAGAAUUUGAAAGUAAAGUUCAAAAACCCAAGUUAAGAAACCAAAUCUCAAAACCAUGUGCAUCCUUGAGCGUCAACCUUGAGAGGAUUGAUGAAAAAAUCCUUUUUAUGGCAAAACUCAAUCUACGACUAAGAGAGAAGGUUAAUUUACAAGAAAUGGAGGAACUGGCACUUCUUCGUAGAUAUAAAAUUAAAAAAUCCUAUGUUUUGAUCUCAAGAUUAAAUGCUCCCACUCUUAGUGUGAAAAAGACUGUGUCACCUAACUCUUUAUGGCAAACAAAAAAACCCAAAAGAAUUUAAGAACCUCAUUACUUUAAAAGUGUUUGUGUUUUUAAAUAAAGUAAAGCAAAAUAUAUUUUUUACUUUAAAAUAACAAUGAGAUUUCAAAUUGUUAAUAUUGAUUACCUGUAAUUAGAUACUGUAAAUUGUAAAUGUUUCAAGAGUUAUAUGUUAAAUAAAAAGACUGCUAGUUUUAGUGAAUUAUGUAAUUUGUAUAUUCGAUUUCUUUUAAACCAUUGCACAGUGUAUUUUUGUUAAAAAUAUAUAAAAGUUCAGUCUAUAUGAUUUCUGUUUGAUUGAGCAUUACUAUAUUUUUUUAUAUUUUAAUUUGUAGUAUAGCUAAAAGCUACCAUAAUGUUUAACAGAACCCUAGAUUAAUAUUGUUUAUGGCAUGUUACUUUUGCAGAAAAGCCGAGUGAAGUAGGGAAAAUCAUUUGUUCCAAACAUUUAUUAAACAUCACCAUUAAUUUAAAAUAGAAUUUAGUAUUUGAUUUGGCUUUGAAAAAUAUAAUUUUACAGAAAAUAGGUACAUAAUUAAUAACUUAUUGCCGGCUUAUAAACUUAUCAAUAACAUUGUUUAUUGUUCUACCAAUACUAAAACCUUUGGGGACCUAUCAAGUUUGAGCUUUGGGUCAUUAUUUUAUUCAACACUGUUUCUUUACAGGACUGCUAGAGAUUUCAUUACUGUGUUUAAAUUUUGUAAGUUUACUGGUUGUACAGCUCGUGACAUCUAAGCUGGCACUUGGCCGAUCGCUAUUAGUACGUAUUUAAAAAUCAUUAUGUGCCGUCAUGCGGGUUGCAUCAACUGUACUCGCGACCCAUAUGAAGGCACUCAAGUACAUAAUGCAAAGGAAAUCAACCCUGUGAGGCAGCGGAAAUGUUUGCAGUCUGGUCUUUUCCCUACCUCCACCCUCCAUACCUCCUACAGUCUACACUGCCCGUGCUAGGCCAAGUACCAGCUUAGAUGUCACAAGCUGUAAAUGUAGUAACAUAUCUUGUAAGAUGGUUUGAACAAAUGUUUACUUGAAUUUUGUCUUUGAUAGUUUUAAUUCUGUAAUAAUUGUCAUAGCUAUGUGACAUUUCUGUCCAAUGAUUUCUAGCUAUCUAUGAGAAGCUUUUAUUGUUUUUAAUUGUGUAGUUUAGUGUUCUAGGUUGACAAACAGAACCCAAAUACUGUAAAUUUUGUUAAGUCACUUGUGCAGAAAGCUGCAAAGAGAUAUUAUUUCAAACAGUAUUUAAAAAAAAAUUUUUACUAAUGUAGGCUAUAACAGAAGUAAGUAUUUUAUUUGUGUAUAAAAAUGAAAUGUUUAUUUUGGCAGGAUGCAGAAACUGACAUGUGGUAAAUGCAGUCAAUAACAUAAGUUACGGUAUAUAGGUAUUGUUAUGAUGGAAAAAUAUUCAUAAAAUAACGCUAUUUUAAGUCAACUUGUUAACCUUUUCCAAAAUGAUAAAACCACUCAUGUUUUUUAAAUCCACUUUAACCUGUAAUGUACUAAAAAGGUUAUACUUAACACCCUAUCAAUUUUUGGAUUUGGAUCAUAUUUUAUUCAAUACUAUUUAAUUACCUGACAUAAUAGAGAUCUCUGUGUAAAUUUUGUAAUUUACUUAAUUGUACAUUUUGUAAUAUAUCUUGUAAAAUUAUCUGGAAUGAAUGUUACAGUACUUUAAUGCAGCGGCGGUUCUAGGACCUUGUCGAGAGGAAGGGGGCUACCUAGAGAGUUCCACACCAGGAGGUGGAUUGGGGGUCCUCCCCUGGAAUAUUUUCUGAUCCCAUGUUUAACGUCUAGAGCUGUGUCCAAAAACCUCUGUUACAUUUUAAUGACAAAAUAUAUGUUUAAAGUUGUAUUUUCUGAGUCCAAUGGGGUGAUGGUGCUUUAUAGCCCCUAUAGCCUCCCCCCUUAGAACGCCACUGCUUUAAAUAUUCUCUCAUUUUGAUUCUGUAAUAUUUGUUAUAGCCUGUGAUACUUUAUAUUUUUGUCAUACCUUAGAAGGUUAUUAGCCGUGAAGCGAUGUUUUUUUUUUUUCAUUUGUAUAGUCAAUGCUAUUAUGUGAAAGAGGAUUUUUCAAACCAAAAUGUGUUCAUUGUAAAUAGUUUCAUACAAAUUAAAACAGAACAAUGUAUUUAUA